rnacentral:rRNA from 1 species
GAUGAACGCUGGCGGCGUGCCUAAUACAUGCAAGUCGAGCGAAGCGGGGACGGGUGAGUAACACGUGGAUAACCUCCUAUAAGACUGGGAUAACUUCGGGAAACCGUAGCUAAAUCGGAUACUUAUAGAUGGCUCCGCGCUGCAUUAGCUAGUUGGUAAGGUAACGGCUUACCCAGGCAACGCUACCUAGCCGACCUGAGAGGGUGAUCGGCCAGGCUGGAACAGAGCAACGGACCAGACACCUACGGGAGGCAGCAGUAGGGAAUCUUACGCAAUGGACGAAAGACUGACGGGGCAAAGCCGCGUGAGUGAUGAAGGUCUUCGGAGCGUAAAACUCUGUUAUAAGGGAAGCGGUACCGAAUCAGAAAGCCACGGCUAACUACGUGACAGCAGCCGCGGUAGUAG